rnacentral:rRNA from 1 species
GUGCCGCAGCGGCGGUAAUACGGAGGGUGCAAGCGUUAAUCGGAAUUACUGGGCGUAAAGCGCACGCAGGCGGUUGAUUAAGUCAGAUGUGAAAUCCCCGGGCUCAACCCGGGAACUGCAUCUGAUACUGGUCAGCUUGAGUCUCGUAGAGGGAGGUAGAAUUCCAGGUGUAGCGGUGAAAUGCGUAGAGAUCUGGAGGAAUACCGGUGGCGAAGGCGGCCUCCUGGACGAAGACUGACGCUCAGGUGCGAAAGCGUGGGGAGCAAACAGGAUUAGAUACCCUGGUAGUCCACGCUGUAAACGAUGUCGAUUUGGAGGUUGUGCCCAUGAGGCGUGGCUUCCGGAGCUAACGCGUUAAAUCGACCGCCUGGGGAGUACGGCCGCAAGGUUAACUAAAACAAUGAAUUGACGGGGGCCCGCACAAGCGGUGGAGCAUGUGGUUUAAUUCGAUGCAACGCGAAGAACCUUACUGGUCUUGACAUCCACAGAAGUUUUCCAGGGAUGGGAAUGU